GGGCGAUGGCGUCGCCGACGCUGCGGUAGUUGCGGCGGUCGGCGAGCGGGAGGCGGCCGUCGGCCUGCAUCCGCACCAUGGCCAGGUCGGCCGGGUUGCCGACGGCGGCGCCGACGCCGCCGGCGAUGAGGCCGGCGGCGAUCUUGAGGUGCAGCGGCAGCACGCCGGCGUUCUCCUGGGUCCAGCGCUUCUUGAGGAUGUCGUAGAGGCCCAUCCGCGUGGUGGAGUAGAGCGUCUGGCGCAGCAUGGUGGCCGAGAUCCCGGAGAAGAGCCCGGCGGCGCCCUCGGCGCGCAGGAUCUGCGUGCAGAUGCCAAUCGGGCCGGGCUUGGCCACCGACGCCGGCGUCGGCGCGUGCGGGAGCGCCACCGUCUGCGCCCCGGCCUGGAAGGCGAGCGCCGGGCGCAGCGCGGGCUGGGGCACGGCCGCCGCCGACGACUCCCCCUGCAGCUGCAUCCGGACCUUGAUGAGGUCGAGCGGGUGGGUGGAGCAGCCGGCGACGAUGGAGGCGAUGCCCCCCUCGACGAAUCCCUUGACGCCCAUAUCCUCUUCCCGCUAGCGGAUGGAUGGAUGGAUGGAUGGGUUGGAGAACCGAACUACGUAUAU
rnacentral:lncRNA from 1 species